GAUGAACGCUAGCGGCAGGCUUAAUACAUGCAAGUCGAGGGACAGCACAGGUAGCAAUACUGGGUGGUAACCGGCAAACGGGUGCGGAACGCGUACACAACCUUCCUUUAAGUGGGGGAUGGCCCAGAGAAAUUUGGAUUAAUACCCCGUAAUAUAGUUGAAUGGCAUCAUUUGAUUAUUAUAGCUACGGCGCUUAAUGAUGGGUGUGCGGCUGAUUAGAUAGUUGGCGGGGUAACGGCCCACCAAGUCUACGAUCAGUAGCUGAUGUGAGGGCAUGAUCAGCCACACGGGCACUGAGACACGGGCCCGACUCCUACGGGAGGCAGCAGUAAGGAAUAUUGGUCAAUGGACGCAAGUCUGAACCAGCCAUGCCGCGUGAAGGAUUAAGGUCCUCUGGAUUGUAAACUUCUUUUAUUUGGGACGAAAAAGGGCCUUUCUAGGUCAACUGACGGUACCAGAUGAAUAAGCACCGGCUAACUCCGUGCCAGCCGCCGCCGUAAGAC
rnacentral:rRNA from 1 species